GCGGCCUAUCAGCUUGUUGGUGAGGUAGUGGCUCACCAAGGCGACGACGGGUAGCCGGCCUGAGAGGGCGACCGGCCACACUGGGACUGAGACACGGCCCAGACUCCUACGGGAGGCAGCAGUGGGGAAUAUUGCACAAUGGGCGAAAGCCUGAUGCAGCGACGCCGCGUGAGGGAUGAAGGCCUUCGGGUUGUAAACCUCUUUCAGUAGGGAAGAAGCGAAAGUGACGGUACCUACAGAAGAAGCACCGGCUAACUACGUGCCAGCAGCCGCGGUAAUACGUAGGGUGCGAGCGUUGUCCGGAAUUAUUGGGCGUAAAGAGCUUGUAGGCGGUUUGUCGCGUCUGCUGUGAAAAUCCGGGGCUCAACCCCGGACUUGCAGUGGGUACGGGCAGACUAGAGUGUGGUAGGGGAGACUGGAAUUCCU
rnacentral:rRNA from 1 species